CAGAGGGUGGUGCCCGAACCCGGUGUAUCGGCAGGUACAUCUUUCAGAUGACAUCAGUUACUUCUGUAAGAGAGGACACAUUCAUCACCACAUGCCUUUUCUAAUUUCCCAGCAAGUAAUUGACAACAUUUUCAAGGGAACUUCGUGAAGCUCACUGCAGGUCAACACUGCACGUCGUUUCUUUCAUGCACAUUAUCUUCCUGAGACAAGACCUGGAUUAAUCUCUUCUUUAGAAUGACAGAGCAGCUGCAACAUGUACCCGGUUCCAGAUACAGGAGGAGAAGCCCAACCUCACCGAAAUCAAUGGGAGGGCGGCUACUUCCUAAUGAUUCUUCCUUUGAAAACGUUUCAGGAGCGAGACAAGAAAAAGAAGACCUUGUGAUAACACAAUGCAGGAUAUGCCUUUUGUUUCCAAUGCCUGCCAUAUUCAACCAGCUUGUCAUGGUGUGCCAUUCUGGUGUGACUCUGUGCCAGGCAAGGGUUAUCCCUCCAGCCUGGCCUCUGCUCUUUGUCACUGCCCUCCUGCAGAGAGCAGCUAUGACAGAUGGGCAUAUCUAAUAUUUUCUUAAUUUGGCUCUUUCAAACAUCUCAAUUUCAGCAAUUUCGAGCCAUGGGUCUUAUGUAGCAUGGAUUUGUGUCUGCAUGCAGGAGCCACCUCCUGCAAGGGAGAGGACCCCAUGCCCUUCUGCUUUGCCACCCCCGUGAGCUCCUUGGCCAUGGGCUGCCCACACAGGGUGUUAUCUACCCCGGGGAGUGACUGCAAGACCAGCUCCAGCCACGAUGGCCACAGGCAGGACACGGCCAUGGCCUCUGUUCAAGCUGAGCCCAUGGUGGUCUUGUCAGGCAGAUGCACAAAAGCUUAAAGACACCAACAACUGCACCUUUUAAAAAUCACUGAGCUAUCUAACCUGUGCCACCAGAGAACAGUUAUACGUGGAAAAAAUUCCUUGGGAUCCUUACAGGGGUUUUAACCCUCCACAUGAAUUGAGGCAAGUGGCUCUAUUGAAGAAGUAUGCCUGGAAACUAAAGUUAGAGGAAGGAAGCGUUAAUUUAGGUAGGGAUGUCAGUGCACGGACAGGCUGUGGGUAAAAUUGACAGCACCUCCCAGAAAGAAAUGGCUGCUAUAUAGCGUUAGGAAUUAGGGAGGGCAGAGGUCUGCUGCGGGGGCCGGGAAGAAAGCUUCUGCACCAGGGCAGGGAGCAGGAGAGCACCUGGUCACUAUUUGCUGCUUUCCUGCUCAGUUUGGCUGUUAGUGGUGGUGUUUGUCACUUUUCAGAGAUGGCAUUUCUUCUGCGUGACGCUAUUUACUCUGAGUGUAUGAGGAGGUGACCCAUUGAUUAUCCUCACGGACAGAAAGAACAGAAAGUCAAGUUUCAAGCUAUUGCUGUGACUUAAGAAACAUGCAAGGCUUUUGCCUCUGGACAUAAUCAAGUCAACGUGUUCAGUAUUGGUUUAUGCUUAAAAAGCAAAGUAAAAGCAGAUGAAGUGUAUUUAUAGGCUCAUCAGCCAAUGAAUGGA